rnacentral:tRNA from 3 species
GCUGGGGUGGCGUAACGGUCUAGCGCGCUCGGUUGUCGUCCGAUCGGUCCGGGUUCGAUUCCCGGCCCCGGCA